rnacentral:lncRNA from 1 species
UUUCUUUUCUCACACUUGAAAGUUUGAGUAAAAAAAAAAAAGGUUUUUUUUUGUUUUUUUUUUUAACUCCGUCAAACAAUAGAUUUUUAUAUCUGUUGCCAGUGCAGCUACCAAUGACAGAUAACUGAGGUUUUGUCCCAUAGCACAGAAAACUAUUUGGUUGGGGAGUGGGAAGAUAUAAAUAAUGAUAAAAGAAUGUAAUUAGAACAGCCACAGCAUCCUCACCUAGGAGGAGCUUGUUUAAAGUGCAGAUAUCUCAGGCCCCUUCUGUGUAUGAACACAGCCCUGAUUUAUAAAAACAAGUUAACUGAUGAAGCAAAUAAUCUUUUCUAUGAACUGAUGAAGCAAAUNNNNNNNNNNGAUGAAGCAAAUAAUCUUUUCUAUGAUUAACUGUCUGAGUAACCGCUUAAUGUGAGUUUUUUUAAUUAUGUGGCAAGUGAUAGAAGUUAUGUACUUUCAGGUGGGAGAAAUGGCCUGCUUUGCUAGAAUAUCCUAAAAUAUUUGAAAGGGACAAAUGUGUCUACUGAUAGGUCAGGACUUCAGUGCUGACUUUCUGAAAUUCUUGAGUAAAGAUCAUUCCCUUCCUUGUUCUUCCUUAAUAGAUCAAACAAAAUAAUAAUAAUAAUAAAAACAGAAUUAAGUAAAACAAAAGAUUUUUAAAAAUUAAUACGUGAGAUACACUGCAGUAUAUAUGUAUGUCUGAUUACGCAUAGAAAAAAGAUCUGGAAGGAUACAUAUCAAAUUAUAAGUUAUAAGUUUACUUUGAGGGUGUGGAACUGUGGUAGGGUGAGGGGACUGCUCUCAUUUUUAAAUUCACAUACUUUUGUAAUUUUUUUUUUUGAAAUUUACAGUGAGAAUUCAUUAUUUUUAUAAUAAUCAAACCAUAAUAGAAAUUUUAAAGAUGAUAAAAAACAAAAAGUAAAACACACACACACACAUAAUAAUUUUAAGAGUUACAUUGGAGGAAUGGAGAAUUAAAUCACAUGGUACUUUUCCACUAAUACUGUGAUGGUACAUAAUUGUGUAGUCGGUAAUCAAAGAAACUACAUUAGAGAAGCCACAUUAAGUAACAUCCGAAUUAAAAAGU